rnacentral:rRNA from 2 species
AGGUGAAAUUUGGUUACUCAAAUGUAAUUUGAUUUUAUAUAAAAUUAUUUUGAAGCUAUUAAGUUUUAGGUAUAAAACAGGAUUAGAUACCCUGCUAUACUUUAAUUAAAGUUAGUGAUUUGAGUAGUAAACAGUUAUAGUCUUUAAACUUAAAGGAUUUGGCGGUAUUUUAGUCUUGUUAGAGGAACCUGUUCCAUAAACGAUAUUCCCCGGAAAAUCUUACUCUUUUUUGUAUUUCAGUUUGUAUACCGCCAUUAUUAGAUAGUUUUAUAAAAAUCUGUUUUAAUAGUUCGAAUUAAUAUAUUAGGUCAAGGUGCAGCUUAUAGAAGAGCAGGUAAUGGGUUACAUUGUGAUUUGUUAAAACGAAUAAGUAUGAGUAUUUUUACUUAGAAGGUGGAUUUAAUAGUAAGGUUGUUUUAAUACGGCAGUCUGAUAGUGGCUCUAAAGUAUGUA